rnacentral:rRNA from 1 species
CCCUUAGAUGUUCUGGGCCGCACGCGCGCUACACUGACGAUGGCAACGAGUUUUUCCUUCGCCGAAAGGUGUGGGUAAUCUUUUGAAACAUCGUCGUGCUGGGGAUAGAUCAUUGCAAUUUUUGAUCUUGAACGAGGAAUUCCUAGUAAGCGCGAGUCAUCAGCUCGCGUUGAUUACGUCCCUGCCCUUUGUACACACCGCCCGUCGCUACUACCGAUUGAAUGGUUUAGUGAGGACUCCUGAUUGGCGCCGCCGCCCCGGCAACGGAGCAGCGGACUGUCGAAAAGUUGUUCAAACUUGAUCAUUUAGAGGAAGUAAAAGUCGUAACA